CUGAUUCUGUAGGUUCAACCUUAAUUUCCUUUUGUUGCUUCUUCUGGGGCCUUGAGACCGCAACUUCCUUCUUUUUCCUCUUCUUGUUGUCUUUAGAAGAGGAUGCCAAAUGAGCACUUUCUGUCUUAUCUUGCUUUAUUCUCUCUUCCUCUUGCACACAAUGUGAAAUGAACUCAUUAAGAGUCCAUUUCUCCUUUAGGCAGUUGUAACUGACCUUAAACUGAUUAAAU
rnacentral:lncRNA from 1 species